rnacentral:rRNA from 1 species
AAAAGAAACCAACAGGGAUUGCCUUAGUAACUGCGAGUGAAGCGGCAAAAGCUCAAAUUUGAAAUCUGGCGUCUUUGGCGUCCGAAUUGUAAUUUGGAGAGGCAUCUUCGGUGAUGGCGCUGUCCUAAGUUCCUUGGAACAGGAUGACAUAGAGGGUGAGAUCCCCGUGCCUGGGUGGCUGUCCAUCUCCAUGUGAAGUGUCUUCGACGAGUCGAGUUGUUUGGGAAUGCAGCUCAAAAUGGGUGGUAAAUUUCAUCUAAAGCUAAAUAUUGGCGAGAGACCGAUAGCGCACAAGUAGAGUGAUCGAAAGAUGAAAAGCACUUUGAAAAGAGAGUUAAAAAGUACGUGAAAUUGUUGAAAGGGAAGCGCUUGAGACCAGACUCGAUUUGUGGUGAUCAGCUGUGCUUCUGUACAGUGCACUUGCCACAGAUUGGGCCAGCAUCGGUUCUGACGGUGGGAUAAAAGGGUGAGGAAUGUGGCUUCCUUCGGGGAGUGUUAUAGCUUCGCUCACAAUGCCACCAGUUGGGACCGAGGACCGCGCUUUGGCUAGGAUGCUGGCGUAAUGGUCUUAAGCGAC